UCUCAAUUCAAGAAAAAAAGAACAAAAUAAUAUUAUUACAAAGUUUAUUAUACAACUGUUCAACUGGUUUUUUAGAUACAUAUGAACAAAUAAUUUACAUCAAAAAAGAGAAAUGUACAAGGAUAUAAAAUAUUAUAUCCGUAAAAGAUCCUAAAAUAGUGUUACAACUGCAACUAUAGCAGCUCACUUUACUGCUUUAUCCUUCUCCUUAUCUUUUAUGUUGCUUUGACUUAGUCCACCCUCCCUCCUUCCUUGAAGGACUCCUUUCCAACUGAAACACAUAAUUUAAGGUGUUUCAAUAUCCAUCCAAUUCAUUUCUACUAGUUAAUCCAACCAUUAAAUUUUGCAUACCAAAUUUUACUUAUAAGUUCUCCUAAGAGUUGAGUUCUUUGUAUUUGAUAAUAUUGUAAUUACUAUUCACAUUACUAUUCAUGCAAAUUUUUUUACUUUUUCAUAAUUAA
rnacentral:misc_RNA from 1 species